GAUGAACGCUGGCGGCGUGCUUAACACAUGCAAGUCGAACGAAGCACUUUAUUUGAUUUCCUUCGGGACUGAUUAUUUUGUGACUGAGUGGCGGACGGGUGAGUAACGCGUGGGUAACCUGCCUUGUACAGGGGGAUAACAGUUGGAAACGGCUGCUAAUACCGCAUAAGCGCACAGCAUCGCAUGAUGCAGUGUGAAAAACUCCGGUGGUAUAAGAUGGACCCGCGUUGGAUUAGCUAGUUGGUGAGGUAACGGCCCACCAAGGCGACGAUCCAUAGCCGACCUGAGAGGGUGACCGGCCACAUUGGGACUGAGACACGGCCCAAACUCCUACGGGAGGCAGCAGUGGGGAAUAUUGCACAAUGGGCGAAAGCCUGAUGCAGCGACGCCGCGUGAGCGAAGAAGUAUUUCGGUAUGUAAAGCCCUAUCAGCAGGGAAGAUAAUGACGGUACCUGACUAAGAAGCACCGGCUAAAUACGUG
rnacentral:rRNA from 1 species